GCGUCUUUAGCCUAGUUGGUAAGAGGCAGCACUGUAGUAUGUGUCUCAGCAUAGCUGAGUUUGUGAGUUUGAAUCUCACCAGACACA
rnacentral:tRNA from 1 species